rnacentral:rRNA from 1 species
UACAGAGGUCCCAAGCGUUGUUCGGAUUCACUGGGCGUAAAGGGUGCGUAGGUGGUGAGGUAAGUCGGAUGUGAAAGCUCGGAGCUCAACUCCGAAAUGGCAUUGGAAACUACCUUGCUCGAGGGUUGGAGGGGGACUGGAAUUCUCGGUGUAGCAGUGAAAUGCGUAGAUAUCGUAAGGAAGACCAGUGGCGAAGGCGGGUCUCUGGACAGAUUCCUGACGCUGAGGCACGAAGGCCAGGGAGCAAACGGG